GGGCGGGGUGGAGGCGGGGCUGGGCGAAGCGAGCUGAGCGCGGCUGCCGGUGUUGAGUUCCCGGUGUGAAGUCAGGCCCUCGGCGGGGGCCUUCCCGGGGUCCGUGCAUUCUCUCGACACAGUCACCGAAUCCCUGCAGGUGCUGGUGACACCGCUGCUGCGCGGGAGGGAGCUUUCGGUCCCGCCCACUGACCUGUGAUGUGACGGCCGCCCCGCCCUCGUAGGGGACAGAACUGGGGCUCAGAGAGGUGGUGGUUGGUCCGCCCAGCUGGGAAGUGGAUUCACAAAGUUAACGUCCUUCUUCUCUUUGCCUGGAGAAGGGACGAGGGUGGCGGACUCAGCCGCAGACGUGGACUAGCAGGUCCCUGAGACCCAGCGGAGUGCAUGGAGGCACCCGCGUCUGCAGAACAGAGGGGCGUGACCCAGAAGCAAAGGGACAGCGAACACAUGACACGGGGGACUCAACAGUCGGGAACCCCGAAUCCACGCCCCACCAGCGUGACUCGGCCAACAGGCUGAGCUUCCAUUUCUCCAUCAGCGGAAUGGGGACCACACUGUUUGCUCUUGGCCAUUGUGUGGGCAACCCAAAGAGUUAACUAAAUGUAACUGCUCACCAAAAAAAAAAAUGUAUUGAGUGCUGUCCAGCUGCCAUCAGCUUGCUCUGGUCAAGCGCGACAGAUUCUGGAAAAUGAUUUCUUUCCAUGUCUCUCCAGGCUUCUGUUCCCAAGUUCGACAGGAUCCCCUGGCUUUGUGAGGCCAGCCUGAGAAACAAGCCCCUGGUGCUCAGCCUCCCCAGAAGAUACCCUCAUGGCUCUGCCACUUCUCUGAAUUCAUGGAGGAAGGAUGUGAAUUCGCCAAAUAUGUUUCAAGUUCCAAAUGGCUUAUCUAAGGCCAGGAGGAACCAGAGAGGCCCCAUGCUGGGCAGGAACCAGCAGCUGUGCUCCACAUGCCAGGAAGUGAGAAUGGUUCAACCAAGAACAAUGAUGAUCCCAAAUGAUCUGAAACAUUCCUUUGAGAAUUGUAUGAGUCAUAGAACGAAGAGUCUUCAGCCACCAAAAGCUCAGACUGAACCCAGGUGUUCCCCUGAUGACAUCUCAACAGGUCAAUCCUUCAAAGAUUUUCUUGAAAGUCGGAAGAAGACAGAGAAAUGACCUCAUGAGGUCACCAUGGUGACCACAAAGCUGCAGGACUUGCCAAGUUCAUUUCUUAUUCACUCCUCCUCCAGCUCCCCAUCUCUCCUUGUUUCUCUCCAUGUACCCCUUGUUCAUAUUAUGCCUCCUUCCCUCUGUCAGUAUAUUCUUUUAUCUCAACAGGUUUCUAAUGUUGUGAAAAUGUUCAAAUUAAAGAUAGAUUAUGUGAAUGUUCUGAUGACGUCAGAGGAAAGUUCUUUGGAUUUCCUAGUUCUCUGAUGACUAAUUUUUUCUCUGGGAGUAAAUUCUGCAUCCAGCAAACAGAUGAGCUCUUCCCCAGGUUAGUAACCACUGCUGGGCCUUCAACAGGUAAGAGAGUAAUUGGCUGCCUUUUUCAAGAUUAAGGCCGAGAAUCUGUAUUGGUUUUUCACUGGAAAGAAAGAGAAAUAACUCUGCUCAGAGAUGCUGUCCCUGGACCAGGGGGGGGAGCAGUACGUACUCCCGGGGGACUUCAGGGCAUUCAAGACAUUCUGUCAUCUGCCCAAACUGCCUUUCACCUAUGUCUGCUACAACCCCCUGACAUGCCUCCUCUCAAGGUAAACUGACCAUCUUUCUUUCUCCUUGAGUAUAGGAGGUGAACCUCCAUUCCUUAGCUUUCUGCCCUUCCCAAUGCCUGGGAAGUGCCAUCUGCACCUGAAACACGACAUGAACAUGGUCAGUGGCUCAGGCUCCCUUGGCCAGGGAAUAUUCAUCCGGCGGCUUUAAGGCCCAGUCCUAAUCCUUCUCUCCCACUACUUCCCUGGAGUAGCCAGCUUGAUCCAUCCCCGCCUUUCUCCUCUGAACACCUACAGCACUUACCCUCAUCAGGCAAGAGUUCAUCUCCACGAUGAAAGCAUAUUGGUGUUGAAACUGGACAUGUCGCUCUUGAGAAAAUUAACAGGCUCAGAAAAAGUGGUGUGUGUGUGUGUGUGUGUGUGUGUGUGUGUGUGUGUGGUGUGUUAGUGAAGGAACUGAGGGCAGACAGCAUGGCAGAGUGGGUGGGGAGUUGAUGAAUACAGAGAGUAAUUAGAGAGAAGUGAUGAAAAGGAAAUAUCACCUUCUGCUCCUGAUCACUUAUUGUGCAAAACCCAUGUUCACUAGUCCUCCCUCAUAGCUGUAAUGAUAAAAAAGUCUUUUCAAUUCAGAGAGACCACUACACACGCACACAUUCUACACCCAAGAUGCCAAAAUGUUCACUAAAUUGCAUUUAACUUCCCACAUGCUGUUGCUUUGAGGUCCUUCUGUAUCCUCAUGACCAAAACUCAAGACUGAAGAGUUUACA